rnacentral:ncRNA from 12 species
UAGCAGCACAUAAUGGUUUGU